AAUUUCCUUCGGGGUCGGGUGAAAUUCCCAAUCGACGGUGAUGAGUAAUCUCUAAGCCCGUGAGCCACUUUUGUGUGCAGGAUUUGGUGCAAGUCCAAAGCCGACAGUUAUAGUCUGGAUGGGAGAAGGAAGCA
rnacentral:ncRNA from 2 species